rnacentral:misc_RNA from 1 species
GAUGAAGAACGUAGCGAAAUGCGAUAAGUAAUGUGAAUUGCAGAAUUCAGUGAAUCAUCGAAUCUUUGAACGCACAUUGCGCCCACCAGUAUUCUGGCGGGCAUGCCUGUUCGAGCGUCAUUUCAACCAUCAAGCCCCCGGCUUGUGUUGGGGACCUGCGGCUGCCGCAGGCCCUGAAAACCAGUGGCGGGCUCGCUGUCACACCGAGCGUAGUAGAUUUUCAUCUCGCUCAGGGCGUGCUGCGGGUUCCGGCCGUAAAAAGCCUUAUUUACCCAAGGUUGACCUCGGAUCAGGUAGGAAGACCCGCUGAACUUAAGCAUAUCAAUAAGCGGAGGA